rnacentral:rRNA from 1 species
UAACCGCCUGGCUUUCGCGGCCGGCUGAAGUAUUUUUUUCACCCAUGUCUUUUGCGCACUUGUUGUUUCCUGGGCGGGUUCGCCCGCCACCAGGACCAAACCAUAAACCUUUUUUUCUUAUGCAGUUUCCAUCAGCGUCAGUAAAAACAAUGUAAUUAUUACAACUUUCAACAACGGAUCUCUUGGUUCUGGCAUCGAUGAAGAACGCAGCGAAAUGCGAUACGUAGUGUGAAUUGCAGAAUUCAGUGAAUCAUCGAAUCUUUGAACGCACAUUGCGCCCUUUGGUAUUCCAAAGGGCAUGCCUGUUCGAGCGUCAUUUGUACCUUCAAGCUUUGCUUGGUGUUGGGCGUUUUUUUGUCUCCCUCUUUCUGGGAGACUCGCCUUAAAACGAUUGGCAGCCGGCCUACUGGUUUCGGAGCGCAGCACAUUUUUUGCGCUUUGUAUCAGGAGAAAAGGACGGUACUCCAUCAAGACUCUACAUUUUUCACUUUUGACCUCGGAUCAGGUAGGGAUACCCGCUGAACUUAAGCAUAUCAAUAAGCGGAGGA